UACGGGGGGAGCAAACGUUGUUCGGAAUUACUGGGCGUAAAGCGUGCGCAGGCGGUGAUGUAAGACAGGUGUGAAAUCCCCGGGCUUAACCUGGGAACUGCAUUUGUGACUGCAUCGCUGGAGUGCGGCAGAGGGGGAUGGAAUUCCGCGUGUAGCAGUGAAAUGCGUAGAUAUGCGGAGGAACACCGAUGGCGAAGGCAAUCCCCUGGGCCUGCACUGACGCUCAUGCACGAAAGCGUGGGGAGCAAACAGG
rnacentral:rRNA from 1 species